GACGAGAAAAGCCCUGUCGAGCUUUAAGAAAUUUUUUAUAAAAUAAAAUUUUAAAUAUAAAAAUAAUACCUAAAAAAUUUAAAUAAAAAUAUCUUUGGUUGGGGCAACCACGAAGAAAAAGUAACCUUCGUUUAAAAAAUAAAAUUUACAAAUUUAAAAAUUUUAAAAAAUAAUAAUGAUCCAGCAAAUCUGAUCAAAGAAACAAGUUACCGCAGGGAUAACAGCGUUAUUCUCUUUGAGAGUUCGUAUUGACAAGAGAGUUUGCGACCUCGAUGUUGGACCGGGACAUCCUAGAGGCGCAACAGCCUCUAAAGGUAGGUCUGUUCGACCAAUAAAGUCCUACGUGAUCUGAGUUCCAGACCGGA
rnacentral:rRNA from 1 species